rnacentral:rRNA from 1 species
AGAACGAACGCUGGCGGCAGGCUUAACACAUGCAAGUCGAACGGUUGUAGCAAUACAGCAGUGGCAGACGGGUGAGUAACACGUGGGAACCUUCCUAGGGGUACGGAACAACUCAGGGAAACUUGAGCUAAUACCGUAUACGUCCGUGAGGAGAAAGAUUUAUCGCCCCUAGACGGGCCCGCGUAGGAUUAGGUAGUUGGUGAGGUAACGGCUCACCAAGCCUACGAUCCUUAGCUGAUCUGAGAGGAUGAUCAGCCACACUGGGACUGAGACACGGCCCAGACUCCUACGGGAGGCAGCAGUGGGGAAUCUUGGACAAUGGGCGCAAGCCUGAUCCAGCCAUGCCGCGUGAGUGAAGAAGGCCUUCGGGUUGUAAAGCUCUUUUACCAGGGACGAUAAUGACGGUACCUGGAGAAUAAGCCCGCAAACUCGUGCCAGCAGCCGC